UACGUAGGGGGCAAGCGUUGUCCGGAUUUAUUGGGCGUAAAGAGCGUGUAGGCGGUUAGGUAGGUCCGUUGUGAAAACUCGAGGCUCAACCUCGAGACGCCGAUGGAAACCAUCUAACUAGAGUCCGGAAGAGGAGAAUGGAAUUCCUGGUGUAGCGGUGAAAUGCGCAGAUAUCAGGAAGAACACCCAUGGCUAAGGCGGUUCUCUAGUACGGUACUGACGCUGAGACGCGAAAGCGUGGGGAGCGAACAGG
rnacentral:rRNA from 1 species